AAAAACUUUUAUAUUUUACUUUUAGAUGAUAUUGAUAAAAUUCUUGGCAUAAUAAUAUAUGAAGCCUUUGACUCAUUUAUAAAAUGAGAACUAUCUGAAACAAAAUAAAAUUCUAUUCAUUCGCACAGCUCCGGAACUUCCAUUCGAAUCUUAUAUUAAUUUUUAUACUAUGAAACAACAUUUAUUUGAAAGAAGAUAUUUGAAUCAAAUUAUGAUGUUCAAGUCUAAACACAUUUGCAACUCCAAGAUUUUGUUCUGUGGGCUCAUCUUGUUUGUUCUGGCGACGAUGUUUUAUUUUCAUUAUUUUUAUCCGACUAAUUGCUUAAU